rnacentral:rRNA from 1 species
CCUACGGGGGGCAGCAGUGAGGAAUAUUGGUCAAUGGACGAGAGUCUGAACCAGCCAAGUAGCGUGAAGGAUGACUGCACUAUGGGUUGUAAACUUCUUUUAUAUGGGAAUAAAACGUUCCACGUGUGGGAUUUUGUAUGUACCAUAUGAAUAAGGAUCGGCUAACUCCGUGCCAGCAGCCGCGGUAAUACGGAGGAUCCGAGCGUUAUCCGGAUUUAUUGGGUUUAAAGGGAGCGUAGGUGGAUUGUUAAGUCAGUUGUGAAAGUUUGCGGCUCAACCGUAAAAUUGCAGUUGAAACUGGCAGUCUUGAGUACAGGAGAGGUAUGCGGAAUGCGUGGUGUAGCGGUGAAAUGCUUAGAUAUCGCGAAGAACUCCGAUUGCGAAGGCAGUUCACUGGACUGCAACUGACACUGAGGCUCGAAAGUGUGGGUAUCAAACAGGAUUAGAUACCCUUGUAGUC